rnacentral:rRNA from 1 species
GACGAACGCUGGCGGCGUGCCUAAUACAUGCAAGUAGAACGCUGAAGGAGGAGCUUGCUUCUCUGGAUGAGUUGCGAACGGGUGAGUAACGCGUAGGUAACCUGCCUGGUAGCGGGGGAUAACUAUUGGAAACGAUAGCUAAUACCGCAUAAGAGUAGAUGUCGCAUGACAUUUGCUUAUAAGGUGCAAUUGCAUCACUACCAGAUGGACCUGCGUUGUAUUAGCUAGUUGGUGAGGUAACGGCUCACCAAGGCAACGAUACAUAGCCGACCUGAGAGGGUGAUCGGCCACACUGGGACUGAGACACGGCCCAGACUCCUACGGGAGGCAGCAGUAGGGAAUCUUCGGCAAUGGACGGAAGUCUGACCGAGCAACGCCGCGUGAGUGAAGAAGGGUGUCGGAUCGUAAAGCUCUGUUGUAAGAGAAGAACGAGUGUGAGAGUGGAAAGUUCACACUGUGACGGUAUCUUAACAGAAAGGGACGGCUAACUACGUG